rnacentral:rRNA from 1 species
GACGAACGCUGGCGGCGUGCUUAACACAUGCAAGUCGAACGGAAAGGCCCUGCUUUUGUGGGGUGCUCGAGUGGCGAACGGGUGAGUAACACGUGAGUAACCUGCCCUUGACUUUGGGAUAACUUCAGGAAACUGGGGCUAAUACCGGAUAGGAGCUCCUGCUGCAUGGUGGGGGUUGGAAAGUUUCGGCGGUUGGGGAUGGACUCGCGGCUUAUCAGCUUGUUGGUGGGGUAGUGGCUUACCAAGGCUUUGACGGGUAGCCGGCCUGAGAGGGUGACCGGCCACAUUGGGACUGGGAUACGGCCCAGACUCCUACGGGAGGCAGCAGUGGGGAAUAUUGCACAAUGGGCGGAAGCCUGAUGCAGCAACGCCGCGUGCGGGAUGACGGCCUUCGGGUUGUAAACCGCUUACGCCUGUGACGAAGCGUGAGUGACGGUAAUGGGUAAAGAAGCACCGGCUAACUACGUG